UAGACUUUUUUUUUGUAUUGAUUGGUAUUGCAUACCAUUUUUGGAUGUUGACAUUUGUAUGUGGAAUAGAAAAAUAAGGUAGAGGUUUAACUUUUUUUAUUGUUACAUAAUAUAAAUUAGUUUUACUUGGUGUUGAAAUGUCGUCUUGUUUUUUAUCUGUGUGUUUAUAUACUAUUAGAAAAUUAUAGUGUUAUUUUGUUUUUAUUGGGGGUUAAGAUUUUGUAGUGUUUCUUAUUUUGUGUUUUAUAACGUUUUCUUUUUGUGUUUGUUAGUGCGUAUUUUGUUAUUAAUUUAUUAAUAAUUUGAAAAUUUUGAAUUUAGUAAUUUUUUAAGUUUUGUUUUUUGUUGUAAUUUUUUGUUGUGAACUUGAGGUUUGAUCAAAUGUUUUUUAAAGACUUAGGUCUCUUUAUGUGGCUGGCCUCUGCCCUAUGUUGUGAUAAAUGGCAGUCUUAGCGUGAGGACAUUAAGGUAGCAAAAUAAUUUGUGCUUUUAAUGGGUUCCAGUAUGAAUGGGGUUAGUGGUUAAUUGUAUACUUAAGUUUUUAUGAAGUAGGUUUUUGUUUAAGAAAUAAUGGUUGUGAUUAUACAAAGAUAAGUCUUCGGAAGUUUUUUUCUCAAUUUUUUAUAGAUUAUUUUGGGAUGUUUUCUAGGGUAGAACUUUUUGUAAUUUUUUUUACUAUUUAUAAUUUAUAAAACUACUUCGGAGUUAACAGAAAUUCAUGUUUUUACCAGUUCGUAUGGUAAUAAUAAGUUUUACAUCGAUGUUGUAUUUUAGUUGUUCAGGAGAGGAGAUGGUUUGAGUUUUGAGACUGUUCUUCUUUUAGUAAACUAAACGUGAUAUUAGUUUAAUUCAUCGUGAGAUAGAAUUGUUUAUCUUGUUAAUUACUUGUGUUGAAGGCAGGCAGUACGAAAGGAAAUUUGUUAAAGUUUUUAACUUUGUUAGAGGGCGUGUCCUCUG
rnacentral:rRNA from 1 species